CCCUUAGAUGUCCUGGGCCGCACGCGCGUUACACUGAUGCAUUCAACGAGCUUAUAACCUUGGCCGAGAGGCCUGGGCAAUCUUGUUAACGUGCAUCGUGAUAGGGAUAGAUUAUUGAAAUUAUUAAUCUUGAACGAGGAAUUCCUAGUAAACGCAGAUCAUCAAUCUGCAUUGAUUACGUCCCUGCCCUUUGUACACACCGCCCGUCGCACCUACCGAUUGGGUGUGCUGGUGAAAUGUUCGGAUCGGCCGUUUGUCGCGGUUUCCGCGGCUCGUGGCUGAGAAGUUCAUUAAACCCUCCCACCUAGAGGAAGGAGAAGUCGUAACA
rnacentral:rRNA from 1 species